rnacentral:rRNA from 1 species
UACGUAGGGGGCUAGCGUUGUCCGGAUUUAUUGGGCGUAAAGAGCGUGUAGGCGGCCAGGUAGGUCUGGUGUGAAAACUCGAGGCUUAACCUCGAGAUGUCAUCGGAAACCAUCUGGCUAGAGUCCGGAAGAGGAGAGUGGAAUUCCUGGUGUAGCGGUGAAAUGCGUAGAUAUUGGGAGGAACACCAGUGGCGAAGGCGGCUACCUGGACCGGUACUGACGCUGAUGCGCGAAAGCGUGGGUAGCAAACAGG